GUUCUUAGUAUAAGCAUUAUACCGCGAAACUGCGAAUGGCUCAUUAAAUCAGUUAUCGUUUAUUUGAUAGUACCUUACUACAUGGAUAACCGUGGUAAUUCUAGAGCUAAUACAUGCUAAAAAUCCCGACUUCGGAAGGGAUGUAUUUAUUAGAUUAAAAACCAAUGCCCUUCGGGGCUCCUUGGUGAUUCAUAAUAACUUCUCGAAUCGCACGGCCUUGCGCCGGCGAUGGUUCAUUCAAAUUUCUGCCCUAUCAACUUUCGACGGCUGGGUCUUGGCCAGCCAUGGUGACAACGGGUAACGGAGGGUUAGGGCUCGACCCCGGAGAAGGAGCCUGAGAAACGGCUACUACAUCCAAGGAAGGCAGCAGGCGCGCAAAUUACCCAAUCCCGACUCGGGGAGGUAGUGACAAUAAAUACUGAUACAGGGCUCUUUUGGGUCUUGUAAUUGGAAUGAGUACAAUUUAAAUCCCUUAACGAGGAACAAUUGGAGGGCAAGUCUGGUGCCAGCAGCCGCGGUAAUUCCAGCUCCAAUAGCGUAUAUUAAAGUUGUUGCAGUUAAAAAGCUCGUAGUUGAACCUUGGGCCUGGCUGGCCGGUCCGCCUCACCGCGUGCACUGGUCCGGCCGGGCCUUUCCCUCUGGGGAACCGCAUGCCCUUCACUGGGUGUGUCGGGGAACCAGGACUUUUACUUUGAACAAAUUAGAUCGCUUAAAGAAGGCCUAUGCUGGAAUACAUUAGCAUGGAAUAAUAGAAUAGGACGUGUGGUUCUAUUUUGUUGGUUUCUAGGACCGCCGUAAUGAUUAAUAGGGACAGUCGGGGGCAUCAGUAUUCAAUUGUCAGAGGUGAAAUUCUUGGAUUUAUUGAAGACUAACUACUGCGAAAGCAUUUGCCAAGGAUGUUUUCAUUAAUCAGGAACGAAAGUUAGGGGAUCGAAGACGAUCAGAUACCGUCGUAGUCUUAACCAUAAACUAUGCCGACUAGGGAUCGGACGAUGUUUAUUUUGACUCGUUCGCACCUUAACCGAAAGUAAGUUUCUGGGUUCGGGGGGAAAUUGGCCCCAAGGUUGAACUUUAAAAAUUGACGGAAGGGCACCCCGGGGGGGAGCUUGGGUUAAUUU
rnacentral:rRNA from 1 species